AUGAUUAAAAUACAUCGUAUGUAUUAAGUUCUCAAAAUUGUUAAAGAAUAAAGUUGUUAAUAAAGUUAACUUUUAUCAGAGUUACAAGGUAUACAGAGAAAGUGCAGACUGGGCAGUGUCCCGACUCUGUAAGCAUGAGGACUUGAGUUUAGAUCCCCAGCACCAGGUGAAAAGCCUGGUAGUGGGAGGGGGAGCAGGGGGAUCCCUGGCACUUGCUGACCAGUUAUUCUGGCUAAAUCAGAAAUCCCUGGUUCAUUCCUCAGGUUCAGGGCGAGAGUGAGGAUAACACUAUUGUUGACCUCCACAGGGAUGCACACCCACAUACAACCACACAUGCACAUACAUACAACAUUAUAGAAAAUCUGACUAGACAGCUUGAUGUAUAUUCACAAUGUGACAUAUUUGUAUUUGUGAAACUCAGAUUUUUUAUAGAACAUUUCGAGUACUUCAGAAGGAGGAACAGGAGCACACACCUAUAAUCUCAGGACUCAGCCUGAGGCCCAAGACCUAACCUGGCCUUUCUCUAAACCCAAGUGGAUCUGGGACACCUGCCUUACAGUUCUGUGGCAUCUGGAGCUUCCUGGGUCAACAACUCCUCAGAAGAGUGCUAACUCCCAUCUGAGAAGGAAGAAGCAAUCUAUUUGGCAUCCAGCACCAGGUUUUUCCAUAUCCAUGAUGAGUUAAUAGUAUCAACUAUGAUUGAAAUACUGUGGGCUGUACACUUAGGAGUAACCAAUCACUUUUUCACUGGAUGUAACACCUACUCCAUGAGAUAGAACCCAUACAUGACAUUACUAAAGUGAUGAAGAAUCUGACUUAUUAUGCCAUGGCCCUGGGGAAAAACCAGAUACUACCACUCUGCCAAACGAAUGUAGCAAUAAGAUGGUUCCUUAUGACAUAUUGCAAUACCCAUGGUCCGGGGCUUUGUUCAGUCCACAUAAGAGAAGCUUUCUCUUACAGUAAAUGGAAACUGACACAGAGUCCCACAACUGGACAAUAUGCAGAGUGAGAUACUUUGGAACACUCAGUACUAAAUGGAUGUCUUCAUCAAACCCAUCCCCUCAGGGUUCAGGGAGCUAUGUGGAAGAAGAAGCGGGAAAAGUGUAAGACCCAGAGAUGAUGGAUGACUCUAAGGACUCAGUAUCCUCCAGACUCAGCAGGAGUGACACACAUAAAAACUCACAGAGACCAUGGCAGCACUAACAAGGCCUGCACAGGUUCAAGCCAGACAGGGUCACAGUACUGAGAGGGGGCAGUGGACACUGGUCCCCACCUCCACCAAGAAGCUAUCUGCAAUUGACACCCACUUGCAAAGGAAAAAUCAGUUUUCUCCAGUGGAUACAAACCACACUUAGGGGUAGGUCCCAUGCUCAGAAGUGGAUGGUCAACACAAACAAACGCAAUGGUGUCUUUGUGCUUUUUGUCUGAUAUUGCUUUGUGUGAGCCUUUUUUAACUGACUGGACUUUUUGUUUAUUAUGGCUUCUGAUUUUGUGUUUUUAUAGAGUGUGUGUGUGUGUGUGUGUGUGUGUGUGUGUGUGUGUGUGUGUGUGUUUAUUAUGGUUUUGUUUGUUUGCUUGCUUUUGUUUGUUUUC